GAGUAGGAAAGUGGUGUUCUU
rnacentral:siRNA from 1 species